GAUGAACGCUAGCGGCAGGCUUAAUACAUGCAAGUCGUGGGGCAGCAGGACUGUAGCAAUACAGUUGCUGGCGACCGGCAAACGGGUGCGGAACACGUACGCAACUUACCCUGAACUGGGGGAUAGCCCGGGGAAACCCGGAUUAAUACCCCGUAAUAUAAUGGAGUGGCAUCACUUUAUUAUUAAAGCUCCGGCGGUUCGGGAUGGGCGUGCGGCUGAUUAGGUAGUUGGUUGAGGUAACGGCUCACCAAGCCUACGAUCAGUAACUGGUGUGAGAGCAGGGGCCGAAAAACGGGGCCGGAGAACGGGGCCAGACUCAACGGGGAGGAAGCGGGAAGAAAAGUUGGGAAAGGGAGGCAAGUAUGCCCCAGCAAUGCCGGGGGGAGGAAGAAGGCCUUUUGGGUUGAAAACUUUUUUUAGGGGGGACGAACCGGGUGUUUUUUACCGGGUUGGAGGGAACCCGAGAAAUAGAAACAGGAAAACCCCGUG
rnacentral:rRNA from 1 species